UGACACAUCCGACUCCCCCGUGCUGUUUGUGAUUAUGUGUGUUUUUGUCCUCCGGAGGCCACAGAAACAGGGAAGAGACAUUAGACAGACUUACCCUGCUGAACAGAACGCACUGUCCGUCCGCAGGCUCCGGGAACUUUGUGUUACCCCUAUCAGCUUCACUCUGAUAACACUGUGUGUGGUAACGUUAGUCCAAGUGCUGACUAAAGGUCUCAGUUGGAGCUGAUAGAACCGGUGCCCGCAGGCCGUGAAGCACUCAGCAGGACUCCUCUGACGGUCCAUCAUGAAUUUCUUCCUGGAAACAAUCCAAGUCCUCCUGCUGUCCAUGUGGUACAGUGUGGAAUCCUUCAUCCACCUCUUUGUACCCAUUAAGAGGAAGAACAUAGCUGGUGAGGUGGUGCUGAUCACAGGGGCAGGUAGCGGGAUCGGUCGCCUCAUGGCUCAGGAGUUUGCAGCUCUUGGCACUGUGCUGGUGUUGUGGGAUAUUAACCAGGAGGGGAUGAAAGAAACAGCUAGAUUGGCUAAACAAAGCGGAGCCAGCAGAGUCCACUACUAUCUGUGUGACUGCAGUGACAAGAACGAGGUGUACAGAGUGGCUGACCAGGUGAAGCGAGAGGUGGGUGACGUCAGUAUUCUGGUCAACAAUGCUGGAAUUGUGACAGGAAAGAAGUUCAUGGAUGCUCCUGAUUCCCUGAUUGAGAAGACAAUGGAGGUCAACACUAUGGCUCACUUCUGGACCUACAAGGCCUUUCUUCCUGCCAUGAUUGCCAACAAUUACGGCCAUCUUGUCAGCAUUGCUAGUUCUGCUGGACUCAUAGGAGUCAAUGGAUUGGCAGACUACUGUGCCAGUAAGUUUGCAGCAGUAGGUUUUGCAGAGUCUGUGGGUCUGGAGCUGCUGGCAACUGGCAAAGAUGGCAUCAAGACCACGAUUGUGUGCCCGUACUUCAUCAACACUGGAAUGUUUGAUGGAUGUCAAACAAAGUGGCCAAGACUGCUGCCAAUCCUGGAUCCAGACUUUGUGGCCAAGAAGAUCAUUGAUGCUGUGCUCACAGACCAGGUCUACCUUUUGCUACCCAGGAGCAUGUACCUCAUUGCUGCUCUCAAGAACUUGAUAUUUCCUACAUGACCUGUGACUUUACAUGGUGGACCAAUGCACUGGCUGGUACUGCUGCACCUACCUUACAGUACAGCAUCCUGCCCAUGAAGCAGGGCAUCAUGCUGGGCCAGUACCUGGGAGCCUUCAACCUCAUGGACACAUUCAGGGGCCACUCCAGGAAACAGGAAUGAAUGAAUGAAUGAAUAAGAAGUUAAGGAUGACUGAAAUUAAAGGACACAUGGCACUAUUAAAGCCAUCAGUGCCUAUUUUAAUAUUAAUCUUCCCAGUGUAUUGCUGUAAUAAUGAAGAUUAGGGCAAAAUAGUCGGUUGAAUUGGAAUUGUGGACUUAAACUCAACUCUCAUUUCACUGGUUCAUGUUUAAUUUAAACACAUAAUGUCCAUUAGUCUCUUAAUCUAAAAAAAAAAAAGGAAAUGAAAUAGUAAAAUUUAACAGUUUGUAAUUGAAUAGAAAAAUAAUGCUUGUGAUUGCCUCUUACAUUCAGCCAGUCAGUCAGUGUUCUUGUUUACUACUACUUGUUGAGGACCAAUCCUGAUGAUGUAAUGAUGUAUCAUCAGUCAUGGGCGCCCACAAACAGCCAAGUUAAACACUUACUUGCAUAAGUAAAGGGAAAUAUGGGUUCAAAGUCAAAUGUAAUGUUUUCUGAAAUUUCCAAUUUGGACAUGAAUGUUUGUGAAAGUGUCUGUGUUUUGUUGUGUGGCCCUCCGUAGCUUACACCACACCAACAACAAACAGCAACUCUAACUCUGGACACAACUGUAGUUGCGUCAGAACAGGGUAACAGAUGAAAACAAGAAAAAGUAGGAACUGGUGAUUUAAAGGAACUGAAGUAAAUCAGUGGAUAACUGUUUAAAGAGAACGAUAACUUCCAUUGUUGUCAUCGGCAAACCCUUCUCUUUUGUUCAUGACAGGGCUAAUUAUCUUUGUUUUAUAAGGAAUUAAAAAAAUAUAUGUGCAAUACAAAAAUCCAACAUUAAUAAAACUUUCUAUCAGUAGACACAUCCUGUGGGCUGUCCUCCACAACAGAACCCUAGCAUCAGAAAUGAUACUAGCCAAUGCCCUGGCAGGAGAAUACACAGCUACAUCAAAUCUAUUGUAUCAGUAUAUCUACAGUAAUUAUUACAAUCUACUAAUACAAAAGCUAGAUAUUUGAUGUUAACAUUGCGAACACACUGGCACGAAGUAAUAUUCUGUUAUAAUGUCAUACUAACACUGUUGUGAAUGCAUGCAUAAUCAUUUCUGUUGGGUUUAAAUUAAUCAGUGUUGUGCAGUCUAAAUCAUUUCACAUUAAAAAGCAAGUGCUGAUACUCAGGAACAGUGAACCCCACUGAAGGGUUUAGAUAUCUGAUACCUCGCCUUCAUAAAGCUCUAUUUCACCUUGUGUUCACUUCGGGAAAUCUGUCUUUAUUCCCAAACAGCAAAUGUACAACAUGUUAAGGCAUUAGCUGUAAUUAGCUAGCAUUGUACUAGCUAGACACAUUGGCAUGCCACAGCCAGCAAGACUGUGUGGGGAGCCCCUUUAGGUUCUCUUCUUGUUUGUGUAUUUCAUUAAGUGGCAUAAGAAAGCCUCACAUGAAGCAGGCGUUUUGCAGUACAGUAUGUUCUUGAAGGAGGCAUCACUAUGUCAGAGAAACCAUAGGGAGCUUGUGUAUUGUAUUGCAUUACAGUACAGCAGCUUUCCUGAAGUCAUUGUUUUUGAAGUAAUAUGCAUGCAUAUUGCACUCAAUAUAUCCUCAAUUUCACAUUAUUGGUCCUUUUGUUGACAUUUUUACUAGCACACAACCCUUGGUCUGUAAUGUUGAUAUUACAACCAUUAUCACAAUACAUAUCUAUUAAUAUUAACAUUGUUUCAAUGUAUCAGUGUGUCAUUAUUAAUGUCAUAUAAUUUGUAAUUAAUUGCUAUCAUAUGACUGUAGAGGUGGGUUUUUUUUUAUAUAAUUAAUGCAAUUUAUGUAACAGUCAUAUUAAACUGGUCUAUCUGUAUGGAGAGGAUUAAGUGAAUUAAGGCUGUACACUUCUUGCCUUAAUCAUGCAAAUAUUUAAAUGAGUCAUAAAGAAAGAAGAACAUGACAGCGAUGUAGAGGCACAUUUGCCUGCAUAUAUUGUGUUUUCAAAGGUUUCUCACAAUGUAAACUGCCUGAAACUGCCUGAAAAUUCUAAUCAAUACAGUUCAAAUGUUUUA